UACGUAGGGGGCAAGCGUUGUCCGGAUUUAUUGGGCGUAAAGAGCGUGUAGGCGGCCAUGCAGGUCAGCUGUGAAAACUCGAGGCUCAACCUCGAGACGUCGGUUGAAACCGUAUGGCUAGAGUCCGGAAGAGGAGAGUGGAAUUCCCGGUGUAGCGGUGAAAUGCGUAGAUAUCAGGAGGAACACCUGUGGUGUAGACAGCUUUCUGGACCAUUGCUGACGCUGAGACACGAAAGCGUGGGUAGCAAACAGG
rnacentral:rRNA from 1 species